ensembl:lncRNA
AUGGUGGGUACCCCUGCACAGAGAAGCCAAUCUGUGCAAUUUAAGAAUCCAGCCUCACCAGCUACUCAGCGCUUCAAUGCACGUCUUUCCAAAGGCCUCUCAAUUAUUGAGCGUGCUUUGAUGAAGACGCGAUUCAGAACCAUCUUCCUUCAGGCACUUGAAGUGCAUCCAACAUUUGCACCAAAGGUAAUAGUGUCAUGCACCAUGCUGCACAACAUCUGCCUUGGUGUUGGUGACAUUAUACCACCAGACGACAGCCAAGAAGAAGAGGAAGAUUAUGUGGAGGCAUGCAAUCAAUCUUGCUUAGUACUUAUAAAGCCCUGAAUGGUUUAGCACCUCAGUAUUUGAACGAGCUCUUAUUGCUCUUAUAGUCCUCCACGUUGGCUGUGUUCUCAAAACUCUGGCAAUUUGAUAAUACCUAGAAUAUCAAAAUCAACUGCGGGUGGCAGAUCCUUCUCCUAUUUAGCGCCCAAACUCUGGAAUAACCUACCUAACAUUGUUCAGGAGGCAGACACACUCUGUCAGUUUAAAUCUAGAUUAAAGACCCAUCUCUUUAACCUGGCUUACACAUAACACACUAACACAUUUCUAAUAUUCAAAUCCGUUAAAGGGAACACUGGAACUGGAACCGGGAACACUUCCCAUAACACCCGAUGUACUUGCUACAUCGUUAGAAGAAUGGCAUCUACACUAAUAUUAAUCUGUUUCCCUCUUAUUCCGAGGUCACUGUAGCCACCAGAUCCAGUCUGUAUCCAGGUCAGAUGGUCACUGCAGUCACCCGGAUCCAGAUGGUGGAUCAGCACCUAGAGCGGACCUCUACAGCCCUGAAUGUCAACGGAGACCAGGAUACCUAGAUGAGCCCCAGAUCCACAGUCAAGACCUUGUCUCGCAGACGGCCACCAGGACAAGACCACAGGAAACAGAUGAUUCUUCUGCACAAUCUGACUUUGCUGCAGCCUGGAAUUGAACUGCUGGUUUCGUCUAGUCAGAGGAGAACUGGCCCCCCAACUGAGCCUGGUUUCUCCCAAGAUUUUUUCUUCAUUCUGUCACUGAUGGAGUUUUGGUUCCUUGCCGCUGUCACCUCUGGCUUGCUUAGUUGGGGACACUUAAUUUCCAGUGAUAUUGUCGACUUGAUUGCACAGAUACUAUUUAAACUAAACUGAGCUGGAUGAUGACAUUGAAUUCAAUGAUGAACUGCCUUUUGCUUUAUUGACACACUAUUUUCCUAUUUAAUGCUGUUCUAUUGCUUUGUUACAGUCUGUAUUGUUAAAAGCGCUAUAUAAAUAAAGGUGACUUGACUUGACUUGACCUGACCCUGGAUGUUUGCAUUCCUAAGACAAAAAAAAAAAAGUAUAAAAAUGGGUAGGUCUAGGGCUUUUGUCCCAAUAAGGUGGCAUCCAUUUAAUAUUUUUAAUUAAAUUAAUAUAUUUAUUUGAAAUAAAUCAAUGUUAUUAUUGCAUACUGUUUUAUAAUGUAUUACAAUGCUGAGGUGCAUAUAAUUGCCACUAUUUGCAACAAGUAAUCAGCAGAAUAACCUGCUAUUUUAGUAUAAAUAGAAUCUAGCUAAUAGCAUAUCACUAAAAAAAUACUGCUAUUUACACUUAACUCUAUCGCGCGAAACCAACCCCCCGUGCGUAUAGCACCCCCAACCUAAAACAUCUUCCCGUGCCCCUGGUAUAAGCGUUACAAUACAUACAAAUGUUAAGAUACUUUAAUUUUGAUCGCUACUGAAGAGAACAAGUGUUUAUACCCAAACUAUAAACUUUUAUCCCAGUACUUCUGUUAUUUAAAUGUCUGUAACACAGAAAUAAUGAUUUGUGAUUGAAAAGACUGUUUGUGUUGCUCUUUCAGGAUCAGCAGCAGCAUGAAGGGUUGUUGUAGUUCAAGGUUGUGACAGCUCUCCAUUCUCAAAAAUGCUAUUGAUUGUGCUAUGGGCAAUCUCCAUAUAUAUGCUCCCAAAUUUGAUUGGCUAAGGGGUUGAUUGCAUUUAGUAUUUUGUUGCACAGGCAGGCCAUUGGCCAAUGUAGCAGACAUUACAAAAUUUCAUUUCAGAGAUAUUCAUAGAAUAUGCAUGCAUAUCUGACAGAUUUUGAGAAAUAAAUGACUGCAUAGACCUGCCAAAUAAAUAACAGUGUCAAGGUCCACUAAAGUAGUGAUUUACCAGUGAUUCAACCGUAACGUUAUGAAGAGACGAGAAUACUUUUUGUAUAAGUUGUUAUUUUUGUUUUCUUUGUGUAAAAAAAGUAUUCUCGUCGCUUCAUAACGUUACGGUUGAAUCACUGAUGACAGAUGGAGUAUUUUGACGAUUGUCUUUCAUACUUUCCUGGACCUUGACACUGCUGUUUAUUUGGCAGUUUAUGGGACAGUCUCAAGCCUCCCGGUUUUCAUCCAAAAUAUCUUAAUUGUGUUCUGAAGAUGAAUGAAGCUUUUACGGGUUUGGAACGACAUGGGGGUAAGUGAACAAUUACAAAAUUUUCAUUUUGGGAUGGAGUAACCCUUUAAGCCCGAGACACACUGCACCAUUUUCGGCUGUCCCAGACAAAAGAUUGGCAUCGUGCAACAAUCGUGGUGAUUUCUGUGAUUGUGGCUCCUAAUCGGUGAUCCUAUGUCAUACAGUGAGAGAGGUUCAAAGAUGGCCGUUGUCAGUCUUUUGACCACAAAUAACCAAAAAAUGCAACAUGAAAUCAAUGCGACAUGGCGCUAAAACAUAAAACUGCUUACCUCAAGCUCUUAUCCUUUUUCUUUCGCUGCUUCCACUUUUUUUCAGCACACAUAAAAUUACAAAAGUGAUUUAUCAUGCUCUUUUUGUUUACCAUUAGCGCAUGCUAAUGACGUUUUAUUCUUCUAUAGUAAUGUGCAUCAUAUACGAUCAAUAGGUGUCAUCAUCGUACAGUGUGACAUGCAGUGAUCUUACAGGAUUGCUAAAAUCAUGCAGUGUGUUUUGGGUUUUAAGGAUGACCCAUGCAUGACAUGUUACAUAAAAAAAAAUAAAAAUACAUUUCAUUCCAUGCUACAUUUCUAAUUUCCCUUUGUCUGCAGCAAUUUCCCAUCUACUUGCCAUUCAGCCUAAUCAAAUCUGAUUUGCAUGUCUAGAAGCUCACUUCACCAAACACACAGACCAGAACUGAUGUACAUAUAUAUGGUUGGUCUGUAAUUGCAGGUACAUUUGGUGUCCAAAAGUCAUUUUAUA